rnacentral:lncRNA from 1 species
GCUUCCGAAGUGAUCGAUCAGGCAGUGUCAGUCUUCAGCUGCUAAGCCAAGAAGAUCUGGGAAGGAGUCAGUCAGAGAGCCUUGGGCCAGAGUUCCAGGGGCUCUGGGAGUGGCUGUCAGUUCUACAGGGCCUGGAGCUGAUACGAAAAACCUCCCUUCUUUCCCAAAUGGUCCCCAGCUUCCCCGUUCACUGAAGGCCCUGCAGUCGGGAACAGUCAGGACUUUGCACCCAGUUGUUGUGGGUGUUUGGCCAACCCUUCCUCUUGUGUGAUUCAUGGACCUGCAGCAUUGCGUCACCUGUGAGCUUUUGGAAUUGAAGACUCUCAGGGCUCACCCGGGAGGACCUGCUGGGC